AGCCACUGCCUGUUCACCCCGCUAUCAUCCAGAAGGCGAGAUUAUAGCCACGUCAACAUGAGUAGUACAGGGAUGUCAGGUGUUUGUGCCUCGCAUGUCAAGGACAACCAACAGACUGAAGUACACCCAUUCUCUGUCACAAGUGAUCAAUAAGACAGAGAACAUCUGAUCUCAGAACAGAGUCAAAGCAGAGGAUCCAGCAGCCUCUCUCUGCAGGGGUGUGUGACUGAGGGUUCCUACCCAGAACAGUCAGUCAGCCUUCCUCAUGGUCUUGGUGACUGGAGUCUGCGAUUUAUGGGACUGGCCUCCUGCUUCUUGCUGGUCCCAUCCACUUUCCAGCUCAUGAUCCUGUCUGAGGGGAAGCCCUUGUUGCAUUCGGAAAGUAUUCAGACCCAUUGACUAUUUCCACAUUUUGUUACAUUACAACCUUAUUCUCAAAUUGAUUAAAAAAAAAUCUCACACCUGUCAGUUUUUGGCUUGCCUCACUAACGAUGCCUUUUGCCUAUUCCCUGUCUGUACUUCAGCCUAACGGAUUUCCUGUUAUCAACCUCUUGCCUGAUCU